ACCAAAUUAAAAAAAUAUAAAUUGGAAAUAUCAAGGUAGUUAUAAGAUUCUUCUUGUUGCAGCAACCAAAGAAAGCUUUUGAUUAUAAGGAAAUUGCUUCGUGCUGCUGGAUUGUUCGCAGGAUCAAUAGUAGUGUUUCGAAAUUACGGCGAUCUUAUGGCAAUCUAAAAGUAGAAGACUAUGUUGUCUGUAAUGGUCUGCUAUUAUCUACUUAAACUGUAAUGUCUUGGCUGUAGUUUCAAUCUAUAAUGAGCAGGAUUACUUUCUGGCUUUUGAUUAAGUGAUGAUUAUGCUUUUUCAAUUUGGUCAUGUUAACCUUGUGUCUCUGCACGUUUCCUUGUGCUGAGGCCUGAGAUGACUGUCUUUUGAUAAAAAAAUUACUGUUUUAACAUUCUUAAAUUGUGAAGGUUUAAAGAACAUUGAUAUUCAUCUCCUAUUGUAAAUCAUAAUUAUCGAUUAUGAUUACCUAGAAGCGGUUGUUUUGAUGAUAUUCUUUUCUU